AACGCACAUUGCGCCCCUCGGUACUCCGGGGGGCAUGCCUGUCCGAGCGUCAUUGAAAACCCAUCAAGCCUGGCUUGGUCUUGGGCGCGGUCUUGGGACCCGCCCGCAACCCGUCGGCGGUGCCGUUCGGCCCUGAGCGUAGCAAAACCUCUCGCUCGAGGGUCGCGGCGGUGCCCGCUAGAAGCACACUCCUCGAGUUUGACCUCGGAUCAGGUAGGGAUACCCGCUGAACUUAA
rnacentral:misc_RNA from 1 species